rnacentral:rRNA from 1 species
UACGUAGGGUGCGAGCGUGUCCGGAAUUAUUGGGCGUAAAGAGCUCGUAGGCGGCCUGUUGCGUCCGCUGUGAAAGCCCGGGGCUUAACCCCGGGUCGGCAGUGGAUACGGGCAGGCUAGAGGUAGGUAGGGGAGAAUGGAAUUCCCGGUGUAGCGGUGAAAUGCGCAGAUAUCGGGAGGAACACCGGUGGCGAAGGCGGUUCUCUGGGCCUUACCUGACGCUGAGGAGCGAAAGCGUGGGGAGCGAACAGG